rnacentral:rRNA from 1 species
UACGUAGGUGGCAAGCGUUGUCCGGAAUUAUUGGGCGUAAAGCGCGCGCAGGCGGUCUUUUAAGUCUGAUGUGAAAGCCCCCGGCUCAACCGGGGAGGGUCAUUGGAAACUGGGAGACUUGAGUGCAGAAGAGAAGAGUGGAAUUCCACGUGUAGCGGUGAAAUGCGUAGAGAUGUAGAGGAACACCAGUGGCGAAGGCGACUCUUUGGCCUGUAACUGACGCUGAGGCGCGAAAGCGUGGGGAGCAAACAGG